AUUCCUACGGGAGGCAGCAGUGAGGAAUUUUGCGCAAUGGCCGCAAGGCUGACGCAGCAACGCCGCGUGGGUGAUGAAGGCCUUCGGGUCGUAAAGCCCUGUCAGGUGGGAAGAAAGGCCUGGAGAGGAAAGGUUUCAGGUUUGACGGUACCACCAGAGGAAGCACCGGCUAACUCCGUGCCAGCAGCCGCGGUAAUACGGAGGGUGCGAGCGUUAUUCGGAAUUACUGGGCGUAAGGCGCGUGUAGGCGGCCAACCAAGUCUGAUGUGAAAGCCCUGGGCUUAACCUGGGAAGUGCAUUGGAAACUGGCUGGCUUGAGUACUGGAGAGGAAGGGGGAAUUCCCGGCGUAGAGGUGAAAUUCGUAGAGAUCGGGAGGAAUACCAGUGGCGAAGGCGCCCUUCUGGACGGUUACUGACGCUGAGACGCGAAAGCGUGGGGAGCAAACAGGAUUAGAUACCCUGGUAGUCCACGCUGUAAACGAUGAGCACUAGGUGUAGCGGGUACUCAUUCCUGCUGUGCCGUAGCUAACGCGUUAAGUGCUCCGCCUGGGGAUUACGGUCGCAAGACUAAAACUCAAAUGAAUUGACGGAAU
rnacentral:rRNA from 1 species